GUCGCCACCCUCUCUGGACAGCCCAGGGCCGCAGGCUCAUGCCCUCUCCGUGUCCCGUGCUGCUUAGAGGUGCUCGCGCCGCUCUGCUGCUGCUGCUGCCGCCCCGGCUCUUAGCCUGGCCCUCGCUCCUGCUCCGCCGGCCCCUCAGCGCGGCCUCCUGCGCCCCGAUCUCCUUGCCCGCCGCCGCCUCCCGGAGCAGCAUGGACGGCGCGGGGGCUGAGGAGGUGCUGGCACCUCUGAGGCUAGCAGUGCGCCAGCAGGGAGAUCUUGUGCGAAAACUCAAAGAAGAUAAAGCACCCCAAGUAGACGUAGACAAAGCAGUGGCUGAGCUCAAAGCCCGCAAGAGGGUUCUGGAAGCAAAGGAGCUGGCGUUACAGCCCAAAGAUGAUAUUGUAGACCGAGCAAAAAUGGAAGAUACCCUGAAGAGGAGGUUUUUCUAUGAUCAAGCUUUUGCUAUUUAUGGAGGUGUUAGUGGUCUGUAUGACUUUGGGCCAGUUGGCUGUGCUUUGAAGAACAAUAUUAUUCAGACCUGGAGGCAGCACUUUAUCCAAGAGGAACAGAUCCUGGAGAUCGAUUGCACCAUGCUCACCCCUGAGCCAGUUUUAAAGACCUCUGGCCAUGUAGACAAAUUUGCUGACUUUAUGGUGAAAGAUGUAAAAAAUGGAGAAUGUUUUCGUGCUGACCAUCUAUUAAAAGCUCAUUUACAGAAAUUGAUGUCUGAUAAGAAGUGUUCUGUCGAAAAGAAAUCAGAAAUGGAAAGUGUUUUGGCCCAGCUUGAUAACUAUGGACAGCAAGAACUUGCGGAUCUUUUUGUGAACUAUAAUGUAAAAUCUCCCAUUACUGGAAAUGAUCUAUCCCCUCCAGUGUCUUUUAACUUAAUGUUCAAGACUUUCAUUGGGCCUGGAGGAAACAUGCCUGGGUACUUGAGACCAGAAACUGCACAGGGGAUUUUCUUGAAUUUCAAACGACUUUUGGAGUUCAACCAAGGAAAGUUGCCUUUUGCUGCUGCCCAGAUUGGAAAUUCUUUUAGAAAUGAGAUCUCCCCUCGAUCUGGACUGAUCAGAGUCAGAGAAUUCACAAUGGCAGAAAUUGAGCACUUUGUAGAUCCCAGUGAGAAAGACCACCCCAAGUUCCAGAAUGUGGCAGACCUUCACCUUUAUUUGUAUUCAGCAAAAGCCCAGGUCAGCGGACAGUCCGCUCGGAAAAUGCGCCUGGGAGAUGCUGUUGAACAGGGUGUGAUUAAUAACACAGUAUUAGGCUAUUUCAUUGGCCGCAUCUACCUCUACCUCACGAAGGUUGGAAUAUCUCCAGAUAAACUCCGCUUCCGGCAGCACAUGGAGAAUGAGAUGGCCCAUUAUGCCUGUGACUGUUGGGAUGCAGAAUCCAAAACAUCCUACGGUUGGAUUGAGAUUGUUGGAUGUGCUGAUCGUUCCUGUUAUGACCUCUCCUGUCAUGCACGAGCCACCAAAGUCCCACUUGUAGCUGAGAAACCUCUGAAAGAACCCAAAACAGUCAAUGUUGUUCAGUUUGAACCCAGUAAGGGAGCAAUUGGUAAGGCGUAUAAGAAGGAUGCAAAACUGGUGAUGGAGUAUCUUGCCAUUUGUGAUGAGUGCUACAUUACAGAAAUGGAGAUGCUGCUGAAUGAGAAAGGGUAAGAUAUCAGAUGUUUACUCUUCCAUGGGCUCCAGUCAGUUGUGUCAUCUGCCAGGUUCUGAAAGUUAGGAUGAGAUUAAUUUCUUAAGAUUUUUUGCAGGUAAGUACUGUAUCUUGGCUGCAUUUAAAAGACUGUCUUUGCUGAGAUUUUGACAUUAUAGCCUGAAAAAAGAUUUGAAAUAGAAUAUACUUUUUUUUUUUCCUAGUAACUGUCUUAAACAAAGAGAC
rnacentral:sRNA from 1 species